ACACAUGUGGUGUAGUGGUAGCUACGAGCACAUUUGCUUGAAAGGUCACGGGUUCGAAUCCCCUUAGGUGUG
rnacentral:tRNA from 7 species